GACGAACGCUGGCGGCAUGCUUAACACAUGCAAGUCGAACGGAAAGGCCCCCUUGUGGGGUACUCGAGUGGCGAACGGGUGAGUAACACGUGAGUAACCUACCCUUGACUUUGGGAUAACUUCAGGAAACUGGGGCUAAUACCGGAUAGGAGCUCCUGCUGCAUGGUGGGGGUUGGAAAGUUUCGGCGGUUGGGGAUGGACUCGCGGCUUAUCAGCUUGUUGGUGGGGUAGUGGCUCACCAAGGCUUUGACGGGUAGCCGGCCUGAGAGGGUGACCGGCCACAUUGGGACUGAGAUACGGCCCAGACUCCUACGGGAGGCAGCAGUGGGGAAUAUUGCACAAUGGGCGGAAGCCUGAUGCAGCAACGCCGCGUGCGGGAUGACGGCCUUCGGGUUGUAAACCGCUUUCGCCUGUGACGAAGCGUGAGUGACGGUAAUGGGUAAAGAAGCACCGGCUAACUACGUG
rnacentral:rRNA from 1 species